rnacentral:rRNA from 1 species
GACGAACGCUGGCGGCGUGCUUAACACAUGCAGGUCGAGCGGUAAGGCCCUUUCGGGGUACGACGAGCGGCGAACGGGUGAGUAACACGUGGGUGACCUGCCCUCAGCUCUGGGAUAAGCCUGGGAAACCGGGUCUAAUACCGGAUAUGACUCCAUGACGCAUGUUGUGGGGUGGAAAGCCUUGUGCGGCUGAGGAUGGGCCCGCGGCCUAUCAGCUUGUUGGUGGGGUGAUGGCCUACCAAGGCGACGACGGGUAGCCGGCCUGAGAGGGCGACCGGCCACACUGGGACUGAGACACGGCCCAGACUCCUACGGGAGGCAGCAGUGGGGAAUCUUGCGCAAUGGGCGAAAGCCUGACGCAGCGACGCCGCGUGAGGGAUGACGGCCU